CGAUCAGGAGAGUCGGGCUGAUCUAUUUUCUCUCUGACAGGUAGCAUCAGCCGCCAGCUGGAGGAAGAUUCUAAACUACUUGAGGACCAAAUUAUCUUCAAGUGGAGAGAACCGUCCAUGAGAACGACACCUCAUGACUCAGCCCGUUCAUUCAUUCAUCCCAACCCAGCAACAACUUGAAUCGGUUUAAAGAUGAUUGAGCAGCGCCACGCAGGAUUUAUCAUAUUUGUGACAGGAAAAGCAGUCAGUUUGGCAGGGAACAAAUGAUAUUACAGGGCCCAAAGUUGAAUGACAGUGGGUUAAAGCAGCUGCUGAAGCACAGACAAUGAGCGGAGAAAGUGGCAAUUCACAGCCUGUUAACGUUGGAUUUUGGAAGUUGUGCCGCUCCCAUGAGCCUCCGCUGCAGCUGGCUGGGAACCCGCAGGCGGGACAGGUUUGCCUCCGUGUCUGUACUGAGACUUCUGCUUUUGGCUAUAAGACGGGCCAGAACUGGAAGUGUCCUGUGAGUCCUG